GGUACCUUGACGGUACCUAACCAGAAAGCCACGGCUAACUACGUGCCAGCAGCCGCGGUAAUACGUAGGUGGCAAGCGUUGUCCGGAAUUAUUGGGCGUAAAGCGCGCGCAGGCGGUUUCUUAAGUCUGAUGUGAAAGCCCCCGGCUCAACCGGGGAGGGUCAUUGGAAACUGGGGAACUUGAGUGCAGAAGAGGAGAGUGGAAUUCCACGUGUAGCGGUGAAAUGCGUAGAGAUGUGGAGGAACACCAGUGGCGAAGGCGACUCUCUGGUCUGUAACUGACGCUGAGGCGCGAAAGCGUGGGGAGCGAACAGGAUUAGAUACCCUGGUAGUCCACGCCGUAAACGAUGAGUGCUAAGUGUUAAGAGGGUUUCCGCCCUUUAGUGCUGCAACAAACGCAUUAAGCACUCCGCCUGGGGAGGUACGGUCGCAAGACUGGA
rnacentral:rRNA from 1 species